UACGUAGGUGGCAAGCGUUGUCCGGAUUUACUGGGCGUAAAGCGCGCGCAGGCGGAUUGGUCAGUCCGGGGUGAAAUCUCACGGCUCAACUGUGAGCGGUCCCCGGAUACUGCCAGUCUCGAGGUGUCUAGAGGAGAGCGGAAUUCCUGGUGUAGCGGUGAAAUGCGCAGAUAUCAGGAAGAACACCCGUGGCUAAGGCGGCUCUCUAGUACGGUACUGACGCUGAGACGCGAAAGCGUGGGGAGCGAACAGG
rnacentral:rRNA from 1 species